rnacentral:rRNA from 1 species
UACGGAGGGGGCUAGCGUUGUUCGGAAUUACUGGGCGUAAAGCGCACGUAGGCGGACCAUCAAGUUGGGGGUGAAAUCCCGGGGCUCAACCCCGGAACUGCCUCCAAAACUGCUGGUCUGGAGGUCGAGAGAGGUGAGUGGAAUUCCGAGUGUAGAGGUGAAAUUCGUAGAUAUUCGCAAGAACACCAGUGGCGAAGGCGGCUCACUGGCCCGAUACUGACGCUGAGGCACGAAAGCGUGGGGAGCAAACAGG